UAGAGUAGAGUUUAAGGUUUGACCUGCCCACUGAUUGAUUAAAUGGCCGCAGUAAUUUGACUGUGCAAAGGUAGCAUAAUCAUUAGUUUUUUAAUUAAAAGCUUGUAUGAAUGGUUGGACGAGAUAAGUACUGUCUUUGGAUGAUAAAUAGAAUUUAAUUUUUAAGUUAAAAAGCUUAGAUAAUUAUAAAAGACGAGAAGACCCUAUAGAUCUUUACAAUAUUAAAUAUGUAUUUAAUUAAGAUUAUUUUAUUAUUUAUAUGAAAUAUUGUUUUAUUGGGGUAAUAAAAAGAUUAGAUUAAUUCUUUAUGAUUUUGAUAUAGAUUGAUAAGUUUUUGAUCCUUUAUUAAAGAUUUUAAGAUUAAGUUACCUUAGGGAUAACAGCGUAAUUUUUUUGGAGAGUUCAUAUCGAUAAGAAAGUUUGCGACCUCGAUGUUGGAUUAAAAAUUAUUCUAGGUGCAGCAGCUUAGAGGGUUUGGUCUGUUCGACCAUUGAAUUUUUACAUGAUCUGAGUUCAGACCGGUGUGAGCCAGGUCGGUUUCUAUCUUUAUUAGAUUGAAAUAUUUUAGUACGAAAGGACCAAAUAUUAAAUAUAUUAGAUAUUUUUAUUUUUGAAUUAUA
rnacentral:rRNA from 1 species